rnacentral:tRNA from 1 species
ACCUGGGUGGCUCAGUUGGUUAAGCGACUGACUUUGGCUCAGGUCAUACAUGAUCUUGUGGUUCAUGAGUUCAAACCCCAUAUCAGGUU